UUGUUAUAAGAUAUUUUAAUCAUUCACAUGACAGCAGUUAAAUAAGGAAUGGUCCAAGUGCCAGAAACCCCCACCCCAAAUGUUUAGCAACAUAACUGCUAAGGAAUUAGAGAUGUUCGUAAGAAGCAGCUUUUCUUCGCUAUUAUGUUCAAACCCAAGAUCUUACAAUGAAAAAAUGUAAGGAAAAGACUGCUAUUCAGAUGCUCUUCAAAAUCUGUGUGCCAAGUCCCCGCAGAUUUAUAAUGUCAGGAUAGCCAAAUAUUUUCCAUGGCAGAAGCUCAACAGCAUGUGCUGGGAGCCCAGAGGCUGCAUGACUGCAAUGAGAAGUGCUCAGCAGCCCAUACAUGUGUCUCUGGGUCUGCUCAUGGUGCAAAACCUUCUGCUUGUUCUUCUGCUUGCCCACACGAAGGGGAGUGGGCCCAGCCUGGAGGUGCAAUAGCUCUGAAUCAUGAACUUGCAUAGUGGGAAAGAUAUAUGGGGAGGUCAUCUGGGACUACCUGUUUCUCAGACACGUUCCUGUUAGAUCAGGUUGCUCAGGGUUAUGACCAUUUCAGUUUUGACUCAGUUCCCUCAACCUCUCCUGUCAUGCCAAGUGCUCCACCUUGAUGGCCCUCCUUUGAAUUUGCUCUGCUGUGCCCACAUCUGUUCUUCACUGGGGAAACAAAACAGGACACUACUCUCACAAGUGAACCACAGACGAAUAGUUACCCAGCAUCUCAAACCCCAUUUCUUUCUCCUCCCACCCAGAUGCAACAACUCACAAAUCUGAGGACUCAGCUCCGUUACCUACACAUAGGAGCAUUGCACUCUUAAAAGAUCGCUAUUCCCAGACCUUCAUGUGUCUGAGAUACCUGCCAGCAUUGUGCACACAUGAUACACAGCAAGGUGAUGCUCAGGAAGCCUCUCUGGAGUGGCAGCUGGUAAUUGACUCAAAGGUGUUUCAAAUGACACUAACGUCAGUGCCUGAUUGUAGAGAACCUCUGUAGGAGAUGCUCAGAUGCUGGAUGCCAGGAACUGCCCUAACAAUUUUACCUGUCUCUUUCAAGGCAAAGGUGAUGGCC
rnacentral:lncRNA from 1 species